rnacentral:sRNA from 1 species
UUCUGUCGGUUGGUCCUGGAGCGGCGCAGCCGGAGUGGGGCCGUGAGAUCUUAUUCAGGGCUUCUCAGCCUGAACCCCCAACCAGAUUAAUUUCUCCACAGCUGGAAUUCCAAGUGCUUGGGGAUAAUGAUACCUCUGACCUUUCUUCCUUUUGGGAAGUACUUGAGUGUGCAGCUGCAUGAGGCCUCAGCAGGAGAGAGAUUUUAGGUCCAAGAAGCUAUACCAGUAGGACAAGGCAGGAAAAUACUACACUUUCAGGAUCAAGCCCCUCUGACUCUCAUUUGGAAACUGGAUGUUUGCUAAGCACCUGCUUCUUAAGGAUGCCGAGGGAUUUAAUGAUACUCCCAGAAACCUGGAGAGAUUAAUGGGGCCUAUGGAGAAGUGCUCUGAACUCAGUGUUGGGACUUGAAUAAAAUUAACCAUUAUCAUGUUUUCAGAACAACUAAGCUGUUUUAUAUUUCAUGUGCAUGAAAGCCCUAGAACUGAGUUGUGUUAUUUCCAGAAAUGAAAUAGAUCCCACAGUUAGAUCAUGUGGCCAUUAGUAAGUACCAAAUUUAUAAAAAUCACUGGAGGUCUGUCUGAGCAGUACCUAAUAAAAUAUAGUAUACUGAAAGUGAA